CACCUCAGUAGUGCAUCAUAAGGUACUUGGACAAGGCGCAACAGAGCCAGGCGUGCACCUCCAGGUGCGCCUCGCUCGCUUGUCCCACUCUCCAUUUUGCUGGGGACCAAGAAACUCUUGAUGCAAAAACAAGUUACAGUCACUUAUCAGUGGAUACAGUAUGUUGCAACAAUGUUGAACAGAUAGAGGCCUAGUAGGGUUUUGUUUUGCUUCCAUGUUAGCCAAAACUCGUCGCAGCGUGUUGUCAGUAACACAACAGACGAUACCUUUAGAGAUAGAAAAACGCGCUGCACUAUACGGCGGUCACCGUGCAGGCCGUCAUACCCAUCCAGCGAUGUGGUUGGCGUGUGGUUGGCGUGCGACGGGGCGCAGCCGCAAUGGGGCGCAGCCCUGCACCGCCUGGACCUGCCGUGGCAGGCCGGGACUCUGCCGCCCAGUGGCCGCCCCCAGAGCCCCCUGGUGUAUGCUGUUCAAAUAGUGCUUUGUGCGCAGACACCAGAUGUAGGUUGUUACGCCAUAUGGUGAGUCUGUCUCUUGGCUUGCUUGCUUGUCGUGACCUGGCGUGUGACCGUGCAUAUCGUGUGACUGAGUGAUUUGGGUGUGGUUUUGGCGUGUGGGAACAGGGGAACGUGCCCGAGGUUGGUUGGCCCGACACGGUGUAUUGCAUGGGAGGUCGGAGUACGGGUGAUCCGAGAGAGGAUAUAGGUCGCGUCUGAGAGCGGCUAGAGCCGUCUCUCAUUCCGAUCCUAGGCGAGAUAGUCUUUGACCGUUCUAUAUGAGGGACCCGUCCUAGUGGACGUUAAACUCUUUGGCAACAUGUAAGCCGGAACGUG
rnacentral:lncRNA from 1 species